GCCGGAAUAGCUUGGUUGGGAGAGCGUUAGACUGAAGAUCUAAAGGUCCCUGGUUUUAAUCCGGGGUUUCGGCA